UCACUAGCUUUUUGAAUGUUUUUGUAAACAAAGGUAACAACUGUUAUUUGUGGCAAAAAAGAGCUAAAGAAGCUCGUAGACAUUUCCGGACAAUUUGCUAUUUAUCAGAGGCGAUAGCAAAUUUGUUUCAUUUUCUCAAGUUUAUCUCUUGCUCUCUGAAAUAAAAUGGUAAGUUUCAUGAUGUACGUCAUUAUGUGUCCAUAAUACAUAUUCAUGUUUUUUAAGAUAUUUGUCUAACCUUCAUACUUGUCAGUAUAAACGUGGAGGUUACAUACAUGGUGCAGUUUCACAAAGAAGAGCAGCCCCUUCCCCUUUCUCGUCCCCAUCCCUUUCCUCUUCCCCUGCCCUUUCAUGUUACCUUCAAUCACUACAUGCUGAUGGACAACAUGGACACAUUGGCCCUUCCUCCGACCCUCAAGAACAUAUUAGGGGACAAUUUGGACACAUGCGAACUGAAUCUACUUCAGGUCCAUGUCCUUCAAUUCCAUCUCCUUCGGUUCCACCUUCUUCAGUGCAACACUCAAAUGAUGAGGGAAAUACAAGUGAAGAAGAUAGUCGAUUCAUGAUAUGCCCAUAUGGAGAUUCAUUCACGGAUACUACGUAUGUUGUGAGGCAACUUAAUAAAAUAGUCAAUAACUCUUGGAGGGGCAGUAUAUUAGUUACAGUAGCGCUCCAAAAGAAGUAAAGGAUUUGUGGUGGAAUGAGUUCAAGCGGAAGUUCGGGUGGGAUGAAACAGAAGAGGAUGAAGUUAAAAGAAUUUUGAAGAAGAAAACCGGUGAUCACAUACGAAAUGUGAUAAAUAAAGCAAAUAUAAGUCAACUAAAGCCAGAUUUUAUUACGGGUGACAAUUGGACGGAAAUUAAGAGAGCUUGGGAAACUGAAAAGAAUAAGCAAAUGAGUGAACAGAAUAAGAAGAAUCGAGCUUCUAGUUCUAGUGAAGGGUCUACCACAUAUGCUGGGGGCUCUAUCAAUAUCGGGGAGCAUAAAAAAAGAAUGGCAAAUGAAUUGGGGACGGAACCGACAUAUACAGCUACAUUUGAACGCACAUUUCAAAAAAAAGAUAAGACAUGGACUGGCAAUCGAGCAAAAGUUAUUAAGG